rnacentral:lncRNA from 1 species
CUUGCGCCAAAAGGAACUCGUUCCGUUGUAUAGUUCCGCUUCUUUCUCGUAAGAAAAAGAGCGUGAAUUCUCUUUCCCUUUCUUCGAUACUUUGAUCUCCUUUUUCCUCCUCAUUGAAAAAUGAGAUUUAGAUAAUUUUGUUAAUCUUUAUCUAUUCAUCUCUUAUCUUUUACUAUUUGAAUAUUCUUCUUAUCUACUGGGUGUUGAGAAUCUCCGUCAACCUCCUUCACGAUCGUGCUCGCAGAAUGAGGAAUUCCGGUCAUACCUUGGAGUGUUAUUUCCGGUUAAUCCCGCACGUAAGGACGGGAAUACGCCUUAGGGCAAUGCCUCGCACGCUUCCGUAUAAGAUCAUAUCUUUAUUGGAAUAUUUGCGUUUAUCUGUAUGUUUGUUUGUUUUUAUUUUUAUCACAAAGUUAGUUAAAUUUUAAUUGCAAUCGAAUUCCUAUGCGAUAUUUGUUUCAACUGCCGUUACCCAAAAUCAACUUGCCUGCGCUGGUCUUUCAGGCAAGCGCUUGGCAUCUGUAACUUGAAUGCGCUGGGUCCUCCAGGCAUGUGAUGAUGACUGUCCAUUGGUUAGCGUGGAUGGGCUGUUUGUUGGUGCGCUUGCUUCACCUAAUGAACGAAGUGAAACAAUCUACCAAUUAGUGGCCGUUCGGUUUGGGUGGAUGUAGUUACAAAAAUAGUAUAAUUAAAAGUAAAUGCACUUGUAAAUGCUGCAAUCGUAACUACACCUAGUCUAUUUGGUUUUAUACAGUUGUAACUGCUACAGUUAUAUUUUUUUCUAUUUGGUAGUCUGCAGUUAAGAUUUGUAUUUGAAAAUUCUAUCAAUUUUUAGAUAGAAAGUAAGAUUACCUCUUCUGAGCAUAAGUAAUCAUAUUUUAAUUAUUAAUUAAGACUUUUAUAUCUAUAUAUAAUUUAUAUAUUAUAAAAUUAUGUUUGAAUUUAAUAAAUUUUAAAUAUAAAUAUAUUAUAAAUUUGAUGAAAAUAAAAAUUAAGAUAUUAUUAAACUAGCAGACUGAAAAAUAAAAAGCGUAUGAAAAAAAUUUAUUGACCCUAACCAACAUUAUUAAGUCCUAUCAGAUUUUAUGAAUAUGUAUUUUUGGAAAAAAAAUAAAAAAAUAAGCGCGCAUAUGAAAAAAAUCACACUUUAAUUUGUUUGUUUUUUUAAUAGGUGAGCCGACUCCGGCUCAACUGCUGCAAUUGGAUCUUUUCGUACAGAUGCAACUACAGCAGUUGGACCUAACUAUACCAAACCAGACAAAAAUUUAAUAAAUGCAUGCAUUUGCAACUGCAAUGAGUUAGAAAUGCAUGCAACCAAACAGUCCCUUAAAGUCUCGCCUAUAACCUAAAAUUAAGGAUUUAAAUGCCACUCGGUAUGGGAUAUUGGCACGAUACAAAUCUUGUGCCGAUUGUAUGGUCCAAAGCCAUCUUCUUUUAGAAAUUAGCAAGUAUUUAUAUCAAUAAAGCAUACAAUAUUUAAUAAAGACAUAAUAAAUUGAAAUAUAUUGAUGUCAAAAAAAUUAAAUAUUUCAUGCUAUUGCAUGUAAGCACACAUGUAUUUUUGUAAACUGCACGUAUCUGUACAAUGCAGCAUGCCUCAUGCCCACAAGUGCUCGGAUACUGUAAUGUUAGAGUGUUAAAUUUUGGGAAAACUUCAAAAACCCCCCCUGUGGUUUCGUAGUUUCUCACUUUGUUCCCCUGUGGUUUAAAAUGUAUCAAUUUGCCCCCCCGUGGUUUUGUUUUUCUCUUUUUCUUAUCAAUUUCAUUAUUUUUUUCCUUAAAUCAGUAAUAAAGUUAAAAUUAAAGGGUACUAAAGUGAAUAUUUGAUAAAUCUAGAUGAAUAUCUGAAGUUUUUUGUAUAUAAUUUAACGAAAUAUUAACNUAAAGAAUAUAUAUUUCCAGCUAAGUUUAUUUCUAAAUGAAAUAAACGAAACAGAUAGCGUGCUACCUAUCUCUCAAAAUAAUAAUAAUAAUAAUAAUAAUAGAAGUUCAGAUAUCCACAUCCGUAUCCAUUUUUUCAGAUAUCCGAGAAAAUUUAACUCUCUAAAUCAUAUCCAUAUCUGUAUCUGAAUAGAUCCGGAUAUUUUUUAUUCGGACCCGAAUAUUAUCGAAUAUGAAUACAUAUAUUUUUGGAUAUUAUUCGAUCCGUUUUCACCCCUAGUCGGGAGGCACCACCUCUAGCCACAAUCUAUGCAUCUCCUCUAGCAGAUGAGGUUGACUUAUAAUCAUCAAGGUUAGGUUAGCAGAUGAGUGCUUCCGGCUCAAGGCAUUGCCUGCUAUGUUAGCUUUGUCUGGAUCGUAGAAAAUACGGAUAACAUAAUCCUUCAAAGGCUCUAACCACAUAUGUGCUCCUUCCAAGUGGACUAGUACUUGAGGCUCAAGUGUGAUAAUUAGUAAUAAAUAUCACGCAUCCAAUCCGAAUAACCGAUCGACUCAGGGACAGGUCAAGCGUACGUUGUGUCUAGUAGGACAUCGGACAAGUGCACGUGAACCCACGAAGGCACUCAACUACAAAGUGGCUCGAACAAUUCCGCAUGGCUAAACCCCAACACGAGUAAAUAAGUAGUUAUGCAGGCUAUAGUCACAUAUUUAUUACUAUAUAUAAAAGUAGAACCCUUAAUGAAUCCUAUGUGAGAAGCUGACACGUGGCUUUCUAUAUACUUGCCACGUGUCAAACUCAAAUAUGGAUAUUUACUAUAUAUAAAAGUAGAACCCUUAAUAAAUCCUAUGUGAGAAGCUGACACGUGGCUUUCUAUAUGCUUGCCACGUGUCAAACUCAAAUAUGAAUAUUUGAUUACGAAUUAUUUAAAAUUAAUGAUUUAAUUAAUUAUUUAAAAUUAUACGUUGUGAAAUAAUUGACUGGUGCGGAUAUUACGCGUGAGAAGGAAAAUAUUUGAGAAACGCGUAGAUAGAAAAUAUGAUAUAAAUGUGAGAGUAAUAUUGUAAUGAAGAAAAUAUGAAAUAAUAUCUUUUACUAUAUUAUUAAAAAUUAUCUGUAAUGAAGAAAAUUUUAUUUCAAAGUCACCUAUAAUUAUAUUGAGAUAUUUAAGAAAUUCACGGAUAUUACGUUGCGAAUGAAUUGGCGGGUACAGAUAUUAUGCAUGAGAAGAAAAAUAUUUAUCUUUAUUCGGAAAUAAAUUACUGCUUAGUUAAUUAUUUGAAAUUAUUAGUUGAAAAUUACUUGACAUAAAAAUAUUAAUAAAAAACGAUAGAGACAAUUUCCUAACGUGGAUUUCUAUAUGUUUUCCACGUGUCAUCGUCUCUAUUCUAUUUACUAUAAUGAUUGGUGGAUUAAUGAAAUAUUUGAGAAAUUCAUGGAUAUUACGUUGUGAAAUAAUUGACUGGUGCGGAUAUUACGCGUGAGAAGGAAAAUAUUUGAGAAACGCGUAGAUAGAAAAUAUGAUAUAAAUGUGAGGGUAAUAUUGUAACAAAAAUCUAUCUAUUAUCUAUUACUAUAUAUAAAAGUAGAACCCUUAAUGAACCCUAUGUGAGAAGCUGACACGUGGCUUUCUAUAUGCUUGCCACGUGUCAAACUCAAAUAUGAAUAUUUGGUUACGAAUUAUUUGAAAUUAUUGGUUUAAUUAAUUAUUUAAAAUUAUUGGUUGCGAAAUACGCAAUAAUCUGUUGCGAAUUAUUUUUUCACGGUGGAAAUAAUCUGUUGCAAACUAAAAUUUCGUAUUGGCAGAUAAUUAAUUAUUUAAAAUUAUUGGUUGCGAAAUAAGUAAUAAUCUGUUGCGAAUUAUUUGAAAUAGUUAGUUGCGAAAAAAAGGGUCAAACUCAAAUUUCGUUCACGGAUAUUACGUUGCGAAUGAAUUGGCGGGUACAGAUAUUACGCAUGAGAAAAAAAAUAUUUAUCUUUAUUUGGAAAUAAAUUACUGCUUAGUUAAUUAUUUGAAAUUAUUAGUAGAAAAUUACUUGACAUAAAAAUAUUAGUAAAAAACGAUAGAGACAAUUUCCUAACGUGGAUUUCUAUAUGUUUUCCACGUGUCAUCGUCUCUAUUCUAUUUACUAUAAUGAUAGGUGGAUUAAUGAAAUAUUUGAGAAAUUCAUGGAUAUUACGUUGUGAAAUAAUUGACUGGUGCGGAUAUUACGCGUGAGAAGGAAAAUAUUUGAGAAACGCGUAGAUAGAAAAUAUGAUAUAAAUGUGAGGGUAAUAUUGUAACAAAAAUUAACAAAUAUUUUUAUUUUCAAUCAUUAGAUAAGAUCUAAUGGUAAAAAAUUAAUAUCUUUUGCUAUAUUAUUAAAAAUCACCUAUAAUGAAGGAGAUUUUAUUUCAAAGUUAUCUAUAAUUAUGUUGAGAUAUUUUCAAAAUUCACGGAUAUUAUGUGGCAAAAAAAUUGGUCGGUGCAGAUAUUAUGCAUGAGAAGAAAAAUAUUUAUCUUUAUUUGGGAAUAAAUUACUAUUUAGUUAAUUAUUUAAAAUGAUUGGUUGAAAAUUUCUGGACAUAAAAAUAUUAGUAAAAAAUGAUAGAGACAUUCUUGGAAAGAGAAAAAAUUAAAAACUCACGCUUUUAUAAAAAAUUAAUAUCUUUUACUAUAUUAUUAAAAAUCACAUAUAAUGAAGGAAAUUUUAUUUCAAAGUUAUUGAGAUAUUUGAGAAAUUUAUGGAUAUUAUGUUGCGAAAGAAUUGGCGGUGCGGAUAUUACGCGUGAGAAGAAAAAUAUUUAUUUUUAUUUGGAAAUAAAUUAUUACUUAUUUAAUUAUUUGAAAUGAUUGGUUGAAAAUUUUUUGACAUAAAAAUAUUAGUAAAAAAUGAUAGAGACAUGUUUUGAAAAAGGAAAAAAUUUAAAACUCACAUCACUCCUGUAAUUUUCUUCGCUCUUAAAUAUUGAUGCUUUAAAUAGAACAUAUUAUUUCCCUGUUAUUUCUGUAAUUUUUAUUUCGUAAUUUUUUCCUACUGUCACUCAUGUGACUUUUCAUUUUCAUGCAACAAAAUUUUUUUCUUUAUAUUUUUUUGAAAACCAACAUCUAUAUAUUUUUUAAUCUUAAAAGUGACAAUAGAAAUAUAAUAUAUGUGUGCUUACUCUAAUGUAUGUCAAAUAUGAAAGUUUAGUUGAUCUCAUUAUAUGCUUAAAUAUUAAUGUCAUUUGUAAUUUUUCAUAUCAAUUUUAGUUAUCAUUUUAUUUCGCACAUCAAUAUGUAAAUGUAAAUUAUUUUGCACAUCAAUUCAUAGAUAAUAGAGUAUGAUUGAAUUUUGCAUUUUAGUUGAAUAUUUACUUUAGUCCAAAUUUUUUUUUUCUCUCGCUUGUGUACUUUAAUAUGUAUUAUAAUUAAGAUUGAUAGUAUAUAUUUUUAUUUGUUAAAAAAUAUAAAAUUAAUUAGACAAUCUUUUUGUUGUCAUCACAUAAUAAUUUUUAUUAUUCUAUAUUAUUAUAUUAGUCGUGCAUCGCACGGGUG